CAGCUCUUUCGAGUGGUGUCCAUGAUUAUUGAGCUUAAAGCGUUCGUAGCCGGUUCUGUAGGUCCCUGCUUAAAUCUGGCCGCUUAACGGUCAGCCUGGUAGGGGUACCGCAUUACUUGGGGACGGGAGACGGCAACGGUAUUCCGUAGGUAAGGGUGAAAUCUAAUGAUCUACGGAGGACCACCAGUGGCGAAGGCGGUUGUCGAGAACGUGCCCGACGGUGAGGGACGAAACCCAGGGGAGCAAAUCGGAUUAGAUACCCGAGUAGUCCUGGGGGCGUAAACGAUGUCCGUUAAGUGUUGCAUUGGCCACGAGCCCACUGCGGUGCUGUAGCGAAAGCGAUAAACGGACCGCUUGGGAAGUACGGUCGCAAGACUA
rnacentral:rRNA from 1 species